GACGAACGCUGGCGGCGUGCUUAACACAUGCAAGUCGAACGAAAAUACCAAGCUUGCUUGGUUGAUUAGUUGCGAACGGGUGAGUAACACGUGAGUAACCUGCCCCUUACUUUCCUGGAUAACUGCUCGAAAGGGUAGCUAAUACGGGAUAUUCUGACCAGCCUGCAUGGGUUGGUUUGGAAAGGUUGUUUUUCUGGUAAGGGAUGGGCUCGCGGCCUAUCAGCUUGUUGGUGGGGUGAUGGCCUACCAAGGCUUUGACGGGUAGCCGGCCUGAGAGGGUGGACGGUCACACUGGGACUGCGAUACGGCCCAGACUCCUACGGGGGGCAGCAGUGGGGAAUAUUGCACACUGGGCGCAAGCCUGAUGCAGCGACGCCGCGUGAGGGAUGCAGGCCUUCGGGUUGUAAACCUCUUUCGUCAGGGAACAAGGCACUGCUUUUUUGGUGGUGUUGAGGGUACCUGGAUAAGAAGCGCCGGCUAACUACGUG
rnacentral:rRNA from 1 species